rnacentral:lncRNA from 1 species
AGCACAAGCAAGAGAAGCACUUUGCAGACCAUUCCUCCUUCGGAAAGGAGGCAUUCUCCGAAAAAGAGCAAGAUAGUGGAAAAUGAAAUGGAAAAAAAAAAAAAAAAAACACCCAAAAGUGUACUUUUCUGAGUUGUUUUGGAAAUUUAUGUAAAUUGAUGGGCACCUCCUACAAGAAUGAAUUUCCCCCCAUCCCACUGCAUCCCAUAAACACCCUGGACGCACGUCCGUCCGAAGCCCGUGGCCAACCGAAGACGCUCUCUCUGUACGGCCAGGCUGGAGGUUCUUUUUUUCUUUUCUUCUAUUUUUUUGCGGUCCGUUAGGUGAACUCCCAUUGUUAUCAUUUCCUGCCACUCGAUCUGUGGUGAAACCCCAAGUAUGUACUGUAAAAACAACGUCACAGUAAAGAAGGCCGGGACCUGGCCCUGGUGUCCGAGGGCUGUGGGUCUUUUCCCCACCUAAGAGCACCGAUGAAAAGGACUCUUUGGAUUCGGAAAGUACGACAGCGGGUGGAACUGGGGGUCUCUCUCUCCCUCUCUCUCCCUCUCUCUCUCAGACACACACACACACACACACACACACCUCCUUGAUCGCAACAGACCUGGGACUGAAUUGCAUCAGAAUGUUGCCUGUGCACCUUCUCCACACGACUCCUCCUGGCUGAGGACUUCGCACAUGGAAUAUUGCCAGUAUGCAGGACAUGGAGGGAAUAGAAGCAGCACAGUCUGGCUUCACAGGUUCACUGGAGGUGACACCAAAGCAGAGAUAUCCAGAAUGGUCACUGGAUUCGCUUCUAGAGGGCUUCGCUGAGGAGACGGCAAUGCGCCGAAGCCCCGUACCGCCAGGCGCCAUGAGCUGCUCAGUAGUCAGUGUAGAUCCUGUGUUUCCAUCAGCAGCUACAUCUGGCUACUGGGUCUCUGAUGGCAUCCCCCACUUCCUGUUGGCACAUUCCUUCCAGAGCGUGUGGCAUGUUAUCGCUCACGGGCCCGUCCUGUGA